UACGAAGGGGGCUAGCGUUGCUCGGAAUCACUGGGCGUAAAGGGCGCGUAGGCGGCCAUUCAAGUCGGGGGUGAAAGCCUGUGGCUCAACCACAGAAUUGCCUUCGAUACUGUUUGGCUUGAGUUUGGUAGAGGUUGGUGGAACUGCGAGUGUAGAGGUGAAAUUCGUAGAUAUUCGCAAGAACACCAGUGGCGAAGGCGGCCAACUGGACCAACACUGACGCUGAGGCGCGAAAGCGUGGGUAGCAAACAGG
rnacentral:rRNA from 1 species